rnacentral:rRNA from 1 species
UACGAGGACCCCGAGCGUUAUCCGGGUUUAUUGGGCGUAAAGAGUGCGCAGGAGGUCAGGUGCGUCAGGCGUUAAAUGUCUCAGCUUAACUGGGUCACCGCGUCUGAUACGGCCAGACUAGAGCAUGUUAGAGAUUACAAGAACUUAUGGUGUAGGGGUGAAAUCCGUUGAUAUCAUAGGGAAUACCAAAGGCGAAGGCAUGUAACUGGAACAUUGCUGACUCUCAUUGCACGAAAGCGUGGGGAGCAAAAAGG